rnacentral:lncRNA from 1 species
AUUAUUAAUUAUUAUUGCGGCUAGCGUUUCUGGAAUUCCUUCUUCGUCAUCCUUCUCUGGCAUUCUAGCUAGUCCCCCACCUUGACCUUUCGUCCACCUGCAUUAACUCCUCCUUGCUCUCUGGUUUCAGCUCACUUUCUUCCUUCAGCUCAUCAUUUGGCGCCAUUGAUUGGAUUUCCUUUUCCCUCCAUCGAUCCAGUUGGACUGUGUUUUUCCUGACGCAUUUACUCCCUGGAUCUGACGCCCUCCCGCAAGUUAUCUUGCUAGAUACGCGAACGCUGAUACUCUAUUUCGUGAGUUCUCCCCCCUGAAUCUGAUUAUGUGGAACUUCUCCUCUUGAUGAUGCAACAACGUACGUCUGAUGCAAAAUUGGACUCGCUUGGAUUGAAUCCAAUUUCUUUGGUGGAGUGUUGAUCGCUUUCUGUGUUUUGGAUGCAGUGAUUCAAUAUGGCAUUUGUAUCGGCUUGUAUGUUUGGGAACAACAUCUGAACUGAUUAGGUUUCUAGAUUUGAUGAAGACUGCAAUUUUGGCGGAUGGUGGUGUGGAAACUGUUGAUCAAUGUCUCGUCGUGUUCCUCUGUGAUUGCUUGUUUGUUUUCAUUUUUCUUCAUAUGUAGUAUGAUUUUGAAUGCUGGUGCUUUCCUCUGUGUACGGUUACUUUGACUCGUGGACUUUGCUCUUUGUAUUUUGUCUUCUGCUUGACCG